rnacentral:ncRNA from 1 species
GAACGUCGUGAGACAGUUCGGUCCCUAUCCGUCGCGGGCGUAGGAAAUUUGAGAGGAUCUGCUCCUAGUACGAGAGGACCAGAGUGGACUUACCGCUGGUGUACCAGUUGUCUUGCCAAAGGCAUCGCUGGGUAGCUAUGUAGGGAAGGGAUAAACGCUGAAAGCAUCUAAGUGUGAAACCCACCUCAAGAUGAGAUUUCCCAUGAUUAUAUAUCAGUAAGAGCCCUGAGAGAUGAUCAGGUAGAUAGGUUAGAAGUGGAAGUGUGGCGACACAUGUAGCGGACUAAUACUAAUAGCUCGAGGACUUAUCCAA